rnacentral:rRNA from 1 species
UACAGAGGUCUCAAGCGUUGUUCGGAUUCAUUGGCGUAAAGGGUGCGUAGUGGCAGGUAAGUCAGUGGUGAAAUCUCCGGGCUUAACUCGGAAACUGCCAUUGAUACUAUCUGUCUUGAAUACCGUGGAGGUCAGCGGAAUAUGUCAUGUAGCGGUGAAAUGCUUAGAUAUGACAUAGAACACCAAUUGCGAAAGGCAGCUGGCUACACGAAUAUUGACACUGAUGCACGAAAAGCGUGGGGGGG